CUUGUCCCUCUGCUUGCGGGGCAGCGCGGGAGACCCGCCUGCUGGCUGUGUGCUUCUGAUGAAACCUGGGCAGAAGAAACACGGGUGCCUGCUGUGGAUGCUUCUGGGAUCCCCCACAAAUUGUGUCCUCUCUGGAUCUAGAUCUAAGGUGCUCUGCUUGAGGCAAUUCCCUCCACCUCCCUGUUGGAAACAAAGACUGCAUGUUUCCUUCCCAACAUCAACACAAGUCUACUGACAAACUACCAGGACUGUCUGCCACAAAGUGCUACCUAACUGUACUCAGAGAUGGCAGUUUUUGAAAGUGAAUUCUUCUACCCUAGAGACCAUCCUCAUUUUGCAUCAGUAACCAGGUACUCCAUGGCAGAGGAGAUCUGGGUGGCCAUGUAGAGUAGCACAACAGCACUCACUUCCUCCCGAUUGCAUUCCCCAACUGUGAGGUUGUAUUUCUUCCAGACACCGACGUACACCUCGCCGUACUGCCCUCCCCCCAGUUUGUGCUUCAUGGUGAUGUCAGUCCUCUCCAUCUCCCACUUGUCGUGGAUGGGGGACACUCCAUAGACAGUGGGCUUAUUGCACUUGGGUGCUGGGUAAUGCAAAGUUGUCACCAGUCCAUCUGCUACUGUUGAGUGAUGGUGCACCAGCUCUGCCAGCGUGCUGAAACGGCUUUCUGCUGUCACGUAUACCUGUUAAGAAUGAACCAGAAUCUACUUAAAUGAAGGCAGCUGCAAGAUUUCAGUAACACUGGGAAACAGCAUUACCCAGAGAUCCUUACCUUUCCAUCUGAGGUGGUAUUGAUCCUGUAGUGGUAAACACGUCCCUCGUACCUGAGCGAGAUGGACAGCUGCCCUGGGCUGCUCUCGCUUUCCCGGACCAGGAAGCUGCCAUUGAUGAGGCUGCUCAACAGAUACUCUGCUGCGCUGCGUGACACCGGCCCGUGGUACCACGAGUGCUUUUCCAGGCUGUUCACUGGUGUGAUGUAGUUGCUGGGUACCCAGCCCUGCCCGUUCUUCGAACGUACCUCGCUCCAUUCACCGUUCUGGUUGUAACCCAGGACUCGCAACUUCUCGCCUGUGACCAGAAAGAAGAAGAGCAAAAUCAGCACAGUGCAAUUUGGGUCUCACUAGGGGAGAUACUCAUUGUCAGCUGAGUGAGCCUGGGUUUGUAGCUUAGCAAUACAAACCUGAAGCAGAUGUAACUAAACUGCUAUAUACAAAGUAUUUAUGAAGUAAAGUUUCAGACAGAAUCUGUAGGAUACUGUUCCCUAACUUACUGCAGUGACUGAUGAACUCAAAAAGCUUCCUGUCCAGCUUUUUAGACUAGAAAGACUUUUUUUCCUGGAGGGAUGACAUUUGUCUCCAUCCUGAAGCCUUAAAUAAUGUGAUUUCAAACAGUUCUGCAGCAGGUCAUGUUCUGAUACCACCCCUGAACAGAAACAGAAAAUCCCUGAAAUUCUUAAUUCUUGAUCUUCCUCCAGUUGAAAGUGCUGAAUUCUUUUAACAUAAAUAAUGUAAAGGUUUUCCUCUCUCCCUCCCUAAA